rnacentral:rRNA from 1 species
AUCGAACGCUGGCGGCAGGCCUAACACAUGCAAGUCGAGCGGAGCGGCGGACGGGUGAGUAAUGCCUAGGAAUCUGCCUGGUAGUGGGGGAUAACGUCCGGAAACGGGCGCUAAUACCGCAUACUAUCAGAUGAGCCUCGGUCGUAUUAGCUAGUUGGUGGGGUAAUGGCUUACCAAGGCGAUGAUCCGUAACUGGUCUGAGAGGAUGAUCAGUCACACGGGAACUGAGACACGGCCCAGACUCCUACGGGAGGCAGCAGUGGGGAAUAUUGGACAAUGGGCGAAAGCCUGAUCCAGCCAUGCCGCGGGUGUGAAGAAGGUCUUCGGAUUGUAAAGCACUUUCAGCGGGGAGGCGUUACCCGCAGAAGAAGCACCGGCUAACUCCGUGCCAGCAGCCGCGGUAAUUC